GAGAAAGACAAUUGAGCUGCUAAUUCAAUACCACCAUGACUUAAACCCAUGGCUUUCUCA
rnacentral:tRNA from 1 species